rnacentral:lncRNA from 1 species
CAUACGGCACGUACCUUGCAUAUAUUCUUAAAUUUUGAAGUUGUCCUUGAUCUUGCUCUCUCGCCGUUGCCUUUAAUUCCAGCUAGCGAAUAAACGCUGAUUAUCUUUUAUGUGCUCCUGAAUAGAGUAACAAAAAUGAGAAGGAAUAGUUUUUCUUAUUGAUCAGUACCUACAGUAAACAAGUAAAACCACGGUAACAGUAGAUAUGUUAGUGUGCAGGCUGUGAAUUUUAAUGAGUUGCAUACAAAUCAAUGAUAACUUCAUAAUUUAAUGAGUUACAUACACCGCGGGUGCCUUGGUGUAAAAUACGUCCUCAAACCCGUUGCAAGUUGUGAGCAAGUUAGCUAAAUUCCUCAGCGUGCCACUGACUGAAGAGGAGGAUAGAGCUCUGGUGUUGCUAAAGAGGUGGUGAGACUCUCCAGUUUUGAGACACUUACCAGCCUAUAAGUUAACCAGGUUGGGGCCGUUAGCCACGGAAACAAAGUUUAAUUUGGUAAUUCCUGGUUUAUAGGAAAUCAGGAGUAGGGGACUGGGUGAACCACAUGAGCCGCGAGAUGGGCGAGAAGUUAGACUGCAUCAGCCAACAGAAGCUUCAGUGGUUUGGGCUUGUGCUUCAAGUCAAUUUUGUUAUCUGUUCUGCUAUCAAUAUCCAUAAGCACAUUACAGAAUGUUCCCUACUUAUAUCUUACUCAGUCUACUGUAUAAUGUUGUCAAAAAUCUGAUCCCAGUGUUGUGCAACAAGAUUACGAGUGUGUGCAUUUUAUCUGAUACCUGUGUCAACUGUACACCAUAAGCAAGCUGGCAUUUGAAAACUACGGUCUUUUGUAAAGAAAACAAAUUAAGUAACCAUUUGAUCUCAACACAUUUUGCCCGUACACUUUUGCAGGAUCUUCAGCAAGUAGGGGUGAUGAAAAUUAGAUAAAAAAUGUUUUGUUUAGGUUUGGCCCCCUCAGACUUGUCCAUCAACAUUCUAAAACCAUCAACCUUGGGGGUCUUAUCUGAGGUUAAGUGAUUUCAAAGAUGACAGUGGCCUUGUAUUUGACUCAGGCCGGGCUAAGUGGUUUCAAAGGGAACCUGGUGGGCUGGUUGCUGUUGUACUCACAAUAUCACAGACCCCCACACAUAUAUAAUCCCAGGCUUGCAUAUCCGGUGCAGUGAUUGUUCGACAUAAACUUGCGAGUACAGGAACCUACUACUACUAAGGUACUAUACUAAUCAAGUCACAUUUUGUUCAAUUUGCUACCAUGUAGUUGUGUAGAGGAUGUACCUGGCUGGGCAAAGUCGCUCGAGUCUGCUCUGUCUCACCAUCAAAAAUCACCACCGUGGCCGUGUCUUGGCCGUCGGGGAUACGUCUUCGCCCUGGCCCUUCCUGUGAGGCCGGGUCACGGCUCCUCGAUACAUCAGUGAGGAGGAUAUCAGGUCAUGGAAGCAAAAAGGAAGAAUUUUCUUCAAGUUGCUACCAUGUAGAGGAUGUACCUAGCUGGGCAAAUUCGCAGGAGUCUGCUCUGUCACAGAUGGGCUGCAGCAGUUCCACGCCCCCUUGUGACCUACGGCCGCUCGUACUCAGUCGAUGUCGAC